AAUGAACGCUGGCGGCAUGCCUUACACAUGCAAGUCGAACGGCAGCAUGACCUAGCUUGCUAGGUUGAUGGCGAGUGGCGAACGGGUGAGUAAUGCAUCGGAACGUGCCUUUUAGUGGGGGAUAACGUAGCGAAAGUUACGCUAAUACCGCAUAUUCUCUGAGGAGGAAAGCAGGGGACCUUCGGGCCUUGCGCUAGAAGAGCGGCCGAUGUCGGAUUAGCUAGUUGGUGAGGUAAAGGCUCACCAAGGCAACUAUCCGUAGCGGGUCUGAGAGGAUGAUCCGCCACACUGGGACUGAGACACGGCCCAGACUCCUACGGGAGGCAGCAGUGGGGAAUUUUGGACAAUGGGCGCAAGCCUGAUCCAGCCAUGCCGCGUGAGUGAAGAAGGCCUUCGGGUUGUAAAGCUCUUUCGGCUGGGAAGAAAUCGCACCCUCUAAUACAGGGUGUGGAUGACGGUACCAGCAUAAGAAGCACCGGCUAACUACGUG
rnacentral:rRNA from 1 species